rnacentral:lncRNA from 1 species
AAUCAACAUUAAAGAAGAAUGUUAACCAAAAUUUGGUAUACUCUCUCUAUAUUGGUGUAAAGGAGGGGGGGUUUUUCACGUGAGAAUUUCACUAAGAGUGCAGUGAACAUUUAAACCUUUAAAAUUCUAUCUUUUAUAUUUUGAUUUUCUUUUUAAAUAUAUAGUUCAGAUUUUACAGCAGAAAUAUUUCACUAAAAAUGAUGUAUCUCAUUGGUAUAGGAACAGAGAAGUAAACAUUCUAACCUUUAAAAUUCUCUCUU